CCUACGGGUGGCAGCAGUGAGGAAUAUUGGUCAAUGGGCGGAAGCCUGAACCAGCCAAGUCGCGUGAGGGAAGAAGGUCCUAUGGAUUGUAAACCUCUUUAGGCGGGGAGCAAUGCCGGGCACGUGUGCGCGGAGGGCGAGUACCAGCAGAAUAAGCAUCGGCUAACAUCGUGCCAGCAGACGCGGUAAUACGGAGGAUGCGAGCGUUAUCCGGAUUUAUUGGGUGUAAAGGGUGCGUAGGCGGAUCUUUAAGGCAGCGGUAAAAUGUCCGGGCUCAACCCGGUACGGCCGUUGAAACUGGGGAUCUUGAGUGAGCGAGAAGUAUGCGGAAUGCGUGGUGGAGCGGUGAAAUGCAUAGAUAUCACGCAGAACUCCGAUUGCGAAGGCAGCAUACCGGCGCCCAACUGACGCUGAGGCACGAAAGCGUGGGGAUCGAACAGGAUUAGAUACCCGAGUAGUC
rnacentral:rRNA from 1 species